CGAACGUACAGAACCUUCCUUUAAGCGGGGGAUAGCCCAUAGAAAUGUGGAUUAAUACCCCAUAGUAAUUUUGUCUGGCAUCAGAUGACAUUUAAAGAUUUAUCACUUAAAGAUGGCUGUGCGGCUGAUUAGGUAGUUGGUGUGGGUAACGGCCCACCAAGCCAGCGAUCAGUAACUGGUGUGAGAGCACGACCAGUCACACGGGCACUGAGACACGGGCCCG
rnacentral:rRNA from 1 species